UCCAAACAAUCUGGGCCGUUCAUCCAGCCGAAUCUAACGAUCAAAAACCGCCCAGUGUUGAGCACUCAACGCGUUGAGCACCGUCAGUCCGUCACAUAUCCGCUUGCUCCUGAUCCCCCACGUUCCCACGUCCAUAGCAGUUUUCGCCCGUUCUGUCCGGCCUGCUCGACCUUAUCCCCGCCCCCGUGCUGCCCGCCGCCAAACUGGCCGCCCUCACCAAACUAUCCAACGCCGCCGGAGGUCGACCUCCUCGGACGUAAGCCCCCUGUCCCGCUAGGAUGGCUCCUACGGAUGGGGAAUCGGAAGAAGGACGAGGAGACGCCCCGGCGGCGCGCUCUUGCGCACGAGGAGGCACUCGCAGGCGACAGCGACGGGCCGCAAAUAGUUCUUAAAGGCCGGUCGCGUCGUUCUUUGCAUGUUCGCUGUCGAGGACGGUUGGCCCAUCCUCAUGCUUUCUCCCCUGCCUUCUCCUUCCGCUCUCAGCUGCAAGAUGACUUUAUUCAGAGACGCGCUCAUGGCGUUGGACUAUACCAUAUGCGGAUGUGACUGCUCGGCUUCAAGGUUUCUCAGUGCAAAUCACAUGCACUCUACAUCCAUCCACUAUCCAAAUAUUUUAUUGCAAAUCCCAUUGCUCAUUUUACUUGAAUCAAAAUAUGUUUUCUUCUUUGUCAACAUAUUAUUUCACCAUUGUUUCAGUUAAUUCAUUGGUUGACAUUGCUAUUAUUUAUAGUACAGGCUUGGCAUGCUAAUUGUUUUUUAUUAAAGCAUUAUAUUAACCUGUGUGUUACAUGAGUUCAUUUUACUAUGUUGUAAUUGCCAUCCCAUGGUUAAAAACAUUAAUGUAAUGAUUAAAUUAUAUACAUAUAGAACUCUAUUGCAUUCUUCUAAUAUAUUUCAGCCUUUACUCUGAAUUUUAGAUAUGAGGAGCAAAUUCAAUUUUGCAAAGUUUUUUCUAGGUGUCUUAGAUCCUUAGGUAAUGUUGUCUUUGCCAUUCAAGUUUGAAAAGGGAUGUUGAAUGUGUGUGAAAAGUAAUGCCUCCGUGUCCCUAGGUACGCCUCUCCGCACACACAACCUUCUUAUCACAACGUCCGCAUACACAUAUAAUGAUCGCCGAUAAUUUACUUUAGUAUUCAGAAAGUAUAAACAUUGAAGGGUGCCUGGUUCAGAUAAAGUUUUAAACCAUAUAUGCCUUAUUUUUAUGUGUCCCAUCAAUUGUAGAUAUUGUACCAAAUUUUAUCUACGGAUUCAUAUUGCAGAAGCUUUAUGAUCCGGACUUGAGGGCGGGAGAUCCAUCAGAUCCCUGGGAAAGCUCAAUUGCUCUAUUUACCUUUUGCACCCUUGUUCCGAUCAUCGAUAGUUCCAUGUUUUCUUGUCAUUAUUGCCAUUUGUUCAACGUAGUGCAUCUCUAGAACAUGAUGAAGGGGUGCAUGCAUGGGGAGCUGGACAAGUUGUACAAUAGAGGUAGUCAAGGACGCAAGAUCUACCUUCUCCUCUGCUAUGGCGAAUAAUUUUCAGGGAAAGGGUCCAAAGACCCUAGAUGCUGCUAUUAAAAACUUGGCGGUGAGUACAAAUUACAUUCAGGUCCCUACAGAACAUGGGAAUUCUGGAUAAGGACUGAAAUUUUACAGCAAAGACCCUAAAAAGAUACUGGGAAAAGAAAUCAGGUCCUUGCAAGCCUGCACCGCAUCUGAUGGAGGUCACCGUCGAUUUGCUCCGCCACGGAACUGACACCGGCGCCGGGGACGAACCACUUGGUCCGGCGUCGUGGCAGGAGCGGCUGAUCUUCCCAUCGGACUGCUUGGUCUCUGGGAAGUAGAGGUUGAGGAGGGUCGCCUUUCGACCAUAGUAUACAGAGGCAGGGCGGUGUGAGCCGCCGGCUUCGGUCCUCCGCUGAAGAGCUCCAGUCGCAGCAGCAGCUCCCCGCCGACGCCAGCCACAGAUCUCAGGCAGGAGAUCUAGCAGCUAGCUCGCGGUAGCAUGAAUACCCUGACGUAGAUCUGCCAGCCAGAGCUUGUGCAAGAGCAGGAUCUCCACACCGCUCUCACCACCAUGGUGAGAAGCAUGCGGGAUCUCCAGAUCUUGAGCACAACCAUCCGAUCUGCAGAGAACAGCAACCAUGAUAUCGAAUCCGAGAUCCAGUGCCAUGGCCUCAAGCUUAUUGAAGGGCUGAGGGAGGGAGAGCUUGAGCAGCAGCCGUUGGCACCAUGCCGCAACCGCGUGCGAGAUAUGACGCCAGACUCCACUAGGGAAACAUACUCACGAUCUAGACUACUAUAUACAGAGGGCCGGGCUCCCCUCUCCCAGUCACUCCGGCCGGUGAAGCUGCCGGAGGAGAGAGAGAGAGGGGAGCCGGCGGAAGGUAGGAGACUCUCAAAGUAACUGUUCACAUGUGAGAGCGAGGAGGGGGGAAAUGAGCCGUUUAAGUUUUAAAUUAAGGAUGCGGCUAAUUCUUGGUCAACCUAGAAUUAACUUAAUUCUCGGCAACCAACGAAUGGUACUUACAGGUACUUACACAUCUUUUCUCCUAGUUGGUUGCCACCUGUAAGUACCAUUCGUUGGUUGCCACAUCUUAUUUUCGUGCUAUUUAUCAUUUAUUGCACCUGUUCCCCAUGAAGAGACAAAAUUAUCUUCAUUUGUUAUGGAAUCAUUUUCCAAUUCUUCAUAGAUGGAUGGUUUAAGAAUGUUUGAUUUUUAUUCUACAUCAAAUUAAGAAAUGCAACAAGUGCUUGUCGUAAUUUCCGUUGGUACCUUGUGAAGUUGUGAUGUGUUUAAUGAAGAAAACAAGUUUAGGGACAUAUUUCUAUGAAACAGUUAACACGUGUGGCCUUACUUGUUGUGUAUACAUCCUUGACAUCGGAAGCGCUUGUGCUACAAAAAGUAAGCACUUAAGCUACAUAUGCAGCACACUUACAAUUGUGAGAUUUUCUGAUGUUUUGGGUGGUACUAAAUGCAAUAGCUUUAAAACAAUGUCUGCACUGAACCGGAGUUGAGUUGAGAACUGUGAGAUUAUCUUACAUAAUUACAUAUAGAUGCAUAUAGAUUACUAUAUAUACAAUGUAAUUUAAAUUUCAAUUGAAGAUUAAAAAGUUGUGUUAAAAAAUGGAACGU